UACGUAGGGUGCGAGCGUUGUCCGGAAUUAUUGGGCGUAAAGAGCUCGUAGGCGGUGUGUCACGUCGGCCGUGAAAACUUGCAGCUUAACUGUGGGCGUGCGGUCGAUACGGGCAUCACUGGAGUUCGGCAGGGGAGACUGGAAUUCCUGGUGUAGCGGUGAAAUGCGCAGAUAUCAGGAGGAACACCGGUUGCGAAGGCGGGUCUCUGGGCCGAUACUGACGCUGAGGAGCGAAAGCGUGGGGAGCAAACAGG
rnacentral:rRNA from 1 species